UUUUUUUUUUUUUAAUUUAGUUUUUGUAGAAAUGGUGUCUCGUUACAUUGCCCAGGCUGAUCUUGAACUCUUGGCCUCAGGUGAUCCUCCUGCCUUGGCCUUCCAAGUGCUGGGAUUACAGGUGUGAGCCACCACGCCCUGCCAAAAAUGUGCAUUUCUAGCAGGUUCCCAGGUGACGCUGCUGGCCACAGGGGCUGACGCUGCGGGAAGCCCUGACCUAGUGCACAACCCAUUGGGCUCUUCACUGUCAGUGUAGAGGCAUAGGUCCAAAAUAUGUUUCCCCAGUCAAAAACAUGUAAGGUUUGCACCAGGAGUGGAAGGAAACAAACAAACAUAAACCAAAGCAAAGACACUUAAGGGCUGGGUACUCAUGCCUGUAAACCCAACACUUUGGGAGUUUGAGGCAGGAGGCUCAUUUGAGGCCAGGAGUUUGAGACCAGCCUGGGGAACAUAGUGAGACCCUGUUGCAACAAAAACCAGAAAAACAACAAAAAGAAGACAUUGGAAAAUGGCUGGAGCUGAUUCUAGGUGAAUAAACAACCCUCGACUUAACUUGCUUUGCCUCUGGGAUAUGUUUAUCGAGCGUCUUGAACGUUGAGGAAGCCAGCCAAGAGAAAGAGCCUGAUGCCAAGGUCACACUGGUCCCUGCUGCUCAUGGGGAAGAGAAGGCCCCCAACUAGAUGUCCCAGAACUGGCCGCUCCCCACUUACUUGCUGGUUCACACCUUCUUUGGUUUUAGCGCACAGGGCAUUUCUUGGGCUCUGGAGUAACCACUGAGGCCAGAGUGAGAGUCCCUCUUCCCUGGAGGGAGAGGCCUUUGGGGAUCCAGACAGGCUUCUCUCCUGAGGGAAGACGCUGGCCUGGGGUCACUCAUUUUCACGGGGAGGGUGUGCUGGCGGGAUGGGUGGAAGGGCCUGGGGCCCCGGCAGCCCAUUGCGGAGGUUUUCUCGGGAGAUGGUGGGUAUGGGACUAAGGGUGAAAGGGAAGUUGUGAGUUGGGUAAGAAAGGCCUGAGGAUCUGGCAGGGGAAGGCGGCACACCUGGGUGUGUCUCCCAGAGGAAGGCCUGUGGAGCCCUGGCUUCAGGAGACAGAAGAGAGGAUUAACGGUAGAAGCUCUUUCAUGUUAGAAAAUAAAACAAUAUAGCUAAGGGAUUAUUUGGUUGUAAAAUCCAACACCAUUAAUAAAACUGUUAUAUUCUGA
rnacentral:lncRNA from 10 species